rnacentral:misc_RNA from 1 species
CUUUCAUUCAUUCGCAAAUCGCAGAUUGUUUUUUGUGACGGUGCACUAUUAUAACAUUGUUUUUAAAUUGAAUAAUUAAGUUGUUUUCGCGAAACUGAUGUAGGAUAUCCUCGGAAAAAUGUCGUUCGGCAGUUUUGAGAACGUUGGAUCAUUCAUAAGGGAUUGCAAUGGCACGAAAUUACGAUUCGACCAAGCUUGUUUACAAAUUAUUACGACUAAAGAAGUGAGUUUUUGGAGUCAGUAUGAAGAAUGUGAAGGCUGUGUUUUGCUGGAGACGGCGAAGAUACCUGAAACUCGGGCUAUAGUGUUGGGUACUGGGAGCCCGCUGAGGUACGCAGUGCGCAGUGGCAAUGGAGAAAUAUGCACUGCGACAUACCAAUUCGGUGAAUAUGGCCAGUAUUCCCUCAACCUCACCGAAGAUAUUAAAGAUCCGUGCACGCCCCGUAUGACAGCGGAGCCCGACGCGGCUUUCCUACCGAUUUUGACUGCGGUGGUCAUUCUGCUGUCAAUGGCGACCCUGUGGUAUGUCAUUAAGGGCAUCGGCAAGAGAGUAGUCGCUGGACGAUUUUAUGCUAGAUAUUUUGCCAGAGAAGACAAUGAGCUGGGCUCCGAGACUCGCGUCCUGACAGCGGAGGCGAGCGUGCCUCGAUCCCCCACGCGCUCUCGCCUGCGCUCGCUUGAUAUCUUUAGAGGACUCUCCAUCGCUCUUAUGAUCUUCGUGAACGCGGGCGGCGGUGGGUACGGCAUAUUUUCGCACAGCGUGUGGAACGGGCUCACGGUGGCUGACGUGGUGUUCCCGUGGUUCGCCUUCGCUAUGGGAGAAGCUCUGGUGCUGUCCCUUAACGCCAGGCUUAGGACUUCGCUGCCGAGGAUCAAUGCUUUGCAGCAAGUAGCGACCCGUUCUCUCAUGCUGUCCAUGAUCGGCAUAGUGCUGGGUUCCUCCAACGCGUCGUGGCUGGACGUGCGUCUUCCAGGAGUGUUGCAACGCUUAGCUGCCAUGUACCUCAUCGUGGGAGCCCUGGAGUGUGCCUUCAUGAGGACCAGCCAGGAUAUUACACCAGGUCGUUCUCUAUUCCGUGACAUCAGCGCUGGUUGGCAGCAGUGGUUGGCUACUCUCCUUCUUGUUGCCAUACAGGUGUGCAUAACCCUGCUGGUGGCGGCGCCGGGCUGCCCGCGCGGCUACAUGGGCCCCGGCGGCCUGCACCUCUCCGCCUACAACCAGUCGCUGCAGAACUGCACCGCGGGCAUCGCCGGCUACAUCGACAGACUGGUACUAGGCCCAGCUCACCUGUACCAGCGCGGUACAUUCCACGCGCUGUACCACACGGGUGUCCCCCACGACCCCGAGGGCAUCCUGGGCGUCCUGUCCGGGGUGCUGGUGGUGCAGGCCGGCGCCCACGCCACCAGGAUCAUGCUCGCUUACAACCAUGCUAGGGCCCGAAUAAUGCGUUGGGUAUUCUGGUCUAUAAUCUUCGGCGUUUCCGGCGGAGCUCUAUGCAUGUUCUCGAAGAACGGAGGUCCGAUACCCGUCAAUAAGAACCUCUGGUCGGUGUCGUACUGCCUGGUGACGUCAUCGCUCGCGCUCGCCAUACAAGCCGCGCUGUACUUCAUUGUGGACCUCAAGACCAAGUGGGGGGGAAGACCGCUUUAUUAUGCUGGUCAAAACGCCCUCUUCCUGUACAUCGGCAGUGAACUCCUGAAACGUAACUUCCCUCUGCACUGGGCCCUCUCGGCUCCCACUCACGCGCAGCUGUUAGCGACUCAUGCGGCCGCCAUGUUGAUAUGGCUGGCCGUCGGCGUCGCGCUGCACAGGAAACGCAUCUUUAUCACAUUGUAAUAACGUCCUUUUUACUAUAACAAUGUAGGACGGCGUCAGAAGUAGGAAAAGGCCUUGUAAUAGAGUUCUUUUUAAUACAACUUCCUUAAAUAAAUUCAUACUAUGCUGCUGGGUUUAUGAAACGCGUGUUUAUCACAUUGUAAUAACGUCCUUUUUACUAUAGCAAUAUUGGACGAUGUGAUAAGCCAUAUAAUACGGCUAUUUUUAAUACAAUUUCAUUUAAUAAAGGAAAUAAAUUCAUACUAUGUCACUGGGUUUAUGAAACGCGUCUUUAUCACAUUGUUUUAACGUCUAUUUUACUAUACCAAUGUAGGACGAAGUGGGAAAAAGAAAAGUGUCUAAAAGGCCUUGUAAGAGCUAAAGGAAUUUCUGCUGUGUCAGCUGUGUGUAUGUCACCGGGAAAUAACAAGACUCGUAAGUUGAUAAAUUUUCUAGGUAGUAGAUCAACUCUCGGAAAAUAAUAAACGGCAUUUGAAAUGUACUAUUUAACGCAUUGAAUUUUAGCUAAUUAGUCAACUUACGGUACCUAGCCGUAAUUUAAUAAUGAUAUUGCUACAAGUAUAAUAAUACACAAAUGAGCCAUAUAUAAAGCUUAUUUUACAACAGCAAAUAAUUUCUUUCUAAAAUAUGUAUUGAAUAACUUUUUACCAUACCCGUUUAUAAGGACAUCCCUUUAUACUAAAUAUCGAAAAUAGUUUUAAUUUGAUGUACAGUCAACUUCAGGUCAGUGGUAACAGUUUUAUAGGAAAAUCGUACUUAUUACUAUUGAGUUAAGGUGCAUGACAGCUACCACUAAUGUGCAGUUUACUGUACAUUGCACAAUAUAUUCAUUUCAGGAUUUCCUAUAAAUAUGUGUUGUCUUCCUGUUAAAAAGUAUAAGAGAUGUUCUUAUUAAUAUGUACGAAGGAAAAACGUCUUUAAUACCAUGUAAUAGAGCUAUUUUUCUCACAAAAGUUGAAGCAAAAAUUUGCUUUAAAAAGCAGUUAAAGGAAAUUAAUUUUUAUCGCCUUACAAAUAGAGUUCUUUUUUAUAUAAUUGCAGGACGGAAAAAAUUACAUGUAUGUUUUUUAUUUCGAGUCAAAAUGUUUAUCGCCUUGGAGUAAAAAUCCAAUUUGCUAUAAUACAUAUAUGAGGGAUUAAUUAAUGUUAGCUUGUGUCUUGGCCUUUUUAAAUUAUCAAUAACCACUAUGGGACUUAAUAUUGUAAUUAUUUUUAAUGUUUUGGAUGUAAAAAUGUAAAUGAAUUGAUAUAUUUAAAUUAUUCAAGUAAUAUACGCCAAAAUGUACUAAACCAAGAUAAAAUUAAAAUUUAGAAUGAAAACUUUUUAAAAUUCAAGGUUAUGCUUAGAACUAAAAUAAAAUUUUUGAAAAUUGGCAUAAAGCAGUAGUUAGAUAAGUGGUAGACAAAUAAAAUUGAAUUGAUUUGCUCAAAGAAUUAAAGGAAAGGAUUUUCGAAAGUUAAAAUUAAUUAUAAAUUCAGACUUAAAAUAUGGUUAAUUCCUAACACAUUUAGACUGGAUUGUGUCAUUGUUCUCAUAAUUAUUUUUCUUUUAAUGUAUUAAAAAUAUAUCAUUCUGUCUCUGUCAUUUAUUUGUAGAAAGUUGAAACAUAAUGAGCGCUUAAUAUUUACUUGUAAAAGUAUUUUGGUUCAAUAGUAUUUUGCAUCGUUUUAUGACUAUUUUAUAUGAUUUAUAAUUUUACACAUUAUUUUCAUUAGCAUUAAAACAUAGCCAUCAUUCCAACGUAUAUGGCAGCCUCAUCGGAAUCUCGCAAUUUAAAACCUUCAUGAUUUAAAUACUUUUUCUUGAUAUGACGUCACUAUUCUUGUAAAAACACAUUUACUUAUAUAUUAGCCUUAUAAAAAAAAACAUAUUUAGUAAUAAAAUAUCUUAAAAACAGAUGAAUUGAUCAGUUUUGUAUCUAGAUCAUAGUCCAAAAAUAUAAUUAGUUUUAGUUAUAAUAUAAUAUAUUGUAAAAACUUGACGAAAAAUAACUAUAAAAAGGCAAAAUGAGAAGCGAUGUAGUCAAAUGUGUCUUAAUAAUUUAUGUGGGUCGAACAAAAUAUGUAGGAUCGCGGUUUUUUGUCAAGUUUCAAAGAUAUUGUAACUUCACGUGAUUAUAAUAAAAAGUUAAGUUUAAA